GUCACACCUGUUCCCAUGUCGAACACAGAAGUUAAGCUCCUUAGCGUCGAUGGUAGUCGAACUUACGUUCCGCUAGAGUAGAACGUUGCCAGGC
rnacentral:rRNA from 1 species